rnacentral:lncRNA from 1 species
GACUUGGCAUGCUGGGGGGUCCUCGUUCACUCUCUGAAGUUGGCCUCCUUUCACUGGGGAUUGAAAAGCACCUCCACCCCUACCCUAGUGAUGUCCCCUGAGGACCCGGGUGAUAGUACAGUCAAUAUUGUCAGUACUUUGCUUUGAUUGAAGGCUGUAGAGCUGAGUUACCAAAAUUUCUAUUUCAAAGGAAACCAAACCUUAAAAAAAAAAAACAAAAACUGGGCUGGGUCUUCCAAACCUACCAUGAAACCCUGGUGUGCAGGCUGCACUCAAUGACCUCAACCCAACACCUCCCUGAGUGUGCUUCUUGGAAGAGCCUAGAAGAUUCCUGGAUGGAGACCCCAUUGGUUCAGCCUCAAGUCUGGCCCGUCUUCGAAAAAACAAACACAUUUGUAAGCUUUGUGGGAGCUUCCAGGCCUGCUCUAAGAUGCCUUGCUUGUCCUUUGACCCAUCAGCAUGGAGCUCAGUGGUUGCUGUUUGGUUCUGCAGGCUGGUGGGGAGGCCGCCCAUCGUGGUGGGGCAUCUGUCCAGCCCCAUUGCCACUCAGGGCAUCCAAACAGGAGGCACCCGCUGGGAAGGGUCUAAAGAUACUCCUUGUGGCCACUGCUACUGUUCACACUUGACUUGUGGAGAAGCGAAGGGCUGAGGGGAGGUUUGUGUACACCCAUGUAUUUAAAAGUGACUGACUGACUGAAAUGAGCACAUACCGACAUAUGCAACAUACUAAUACCUUCCUGAUUUUCGAGACUUUCUAAUUACUACAACUAACCUGUUGUGCUCACCUCUGGAAUUCAGAAAGAGAGCCACUGCGAGCACUGACCACAAGGGCUGCCUUAGGAAGGAAAUGUGUGCUUUCAGGAGUUCUUAUUAGGGGAAUUUUAAGAGCACAAAAAUUUUAUUGAACCCACCUUAGUGACAAACAGAAAAUGAUUUGUUAGAUUGUCAGUUGGAAGGGGUUUAUUAUGACUGCUGGUGAAAUAAACAGUGACCAGUUUCUGCCAACAUUUAUGGAAAUAACGUUUCUAGGUUUUAAAUGUGAGCCGUAAACUGAAGCUACUUCAGUUAAAAAAAAAAAAAUCAAUACUUAAACUGUAGGGAAAAGGUGGAUUGGUGCCAGAGAAAACAUUAUUUAAUAGUGUCAGAACAUGGAACUGCAACACAGUUUGUAGCAAGGCACUGAGAAAAACCCACAACUAAUCCUUCAUCGCAGCUGUCUGAACUCUUGAUCAUCUGCCAUCCCCCAAACAGUGACUUCUUUUUUUCUGGUGACUCCAGGCCUGAAUGACCUAGUGUGGAGAGUUUAAACUAUGUACAAGGGAGGAAAGAAAAAAAGGAAAGGAACCUUAAGUAAGCCUCAGCCAAAGGUUUUAUGCAUUGGACUUCCUGUGCCUGCCCCCAGGGGCAAGACUGAUCCCCAUGCCUGUGCCCAUGACAUCUCCCUGAAAGAGGACACCAUGACAGCCCGGCUUUGCCUUGACUGACCCACUGCUACCCCAGAAAUAAGAAUCAAGAGCAGCUAUUGUUAUCCUUAGAGUGUUUUCCGUCUAGGGCCGGCUCGUGAACAGCCACAUAUCCUUGCACCUGACACUGUCCCCACACAAAUAGCUGGCUUUCGUUGCUUGUUGAAUGAAUGAGUGAGUUGGCUCUAUAUCCCCUUGGAGCUGGCCGGUAAGAUAUUAGUGCCUCAUUUUACAAGAAGAGAAUAGGAAGGAAUUAAGCAAUUUGGCCAACAGAUACAAGAUAGAUUCCAGAGUUUUAUCUCCCACUUUAGGGUGGCAGCCAGUAGGCCAAACUCCAAAGACCGUUGCUGAUGUCUUUUUCUGCCUCCCCUCUUUGGGUUAGUGUGGUAUGUACAAGCUCACUCUUGUUGAAAAUUAGAAAAUAGUUGAAAACAAAAGGUUUUUGUUUUUCUUUUUAAAUCACAUUAAAUGUUUUACAUUGCUUA